CCGCCCCCGAGGCCAGAUCCGCUUUCGAAGAAGCCGGAACCGAGUCCCAAAGUUGCUGCUCGAGGAGCAGCAGCUUCGCCACCCGCCGCGCCCGGGAGAGGUCCGGUCGGUCUAGCCCUAGUGCCCCGCAUCCGCUCACUCCUGCGCCCCGACACGCGCGCCCUGGGCGGCUGAGCCGCGGCUCCCAGACAGCCACAGGCUGUGAGGAGAACGGACUGAUGGGGAUGGGGAGCCUGCAGUGGAAGCGAAAGACCAGUCAUGAGGGCGCUAUGUUUGCCAGGGCAAGAGAUGCUGGUGGCCAUGGGGACAAGCCAAGUGGAUGGGCUGACUCAUCCAAGGCCCACUGGAAAGUGUACUGUGACCCAGACAAAAUGGACCCAGAGAGCAAGAGCUGUGGCUAACCGUAUCCCACCAGGAGAUCCUGAGUCCUUGGAAUAACCUGGGUAAAGAGGAGCCUAGUAGAGACCAAGACUGAAUUUCCCAUCAGCCUGGAAUAUGGGAGCUCCCAGUAGGAUUUAUGCUUGAUUUCAAGGAAAUAAAGAGGGCUUCCUUGGUGGCGCAGUGGUUAAAAAUCCACCUGCCAAUGCAGGGGACACAGGUUCGAUCCCUGGUCCGGGAAGAUCCCACAUGCUGCGGAGCAACUAAGCCCGUGCGCCACAACUACUGAGCCUGCGCUCUAGAGCCCGCAAGCCACAACUACUGAGCCCACGUGCCACAACUACUGAAGCCCACGCGGCUAGAGCCCAUGCUCCACAACAAGAGAAGCCACGACAAUGAGAAGCUCGCACACCCCAACGAAGAGUAGCCCCCGCUCACCGCAACUAGAGAAAGCCUGCGCACAGCAACGAAGACCCAACACAGCCAAAAAAAUAAAUAAAUAAAUUUAUAAAUAAAGGAAAUAAAGAAAG